AUGUGGUUUAAUUCGAAGACAACGCGAAGAACCUUACCAGGUCUUGACACUCCCGAUGCUUAUUUCUAGAGAUAGAAAGUUACUUCGGUACAUCGGUGACAGGUGGUGCAUGGUUGUCGUCAGCUCGUGUCGUGAGAUGUUGGGUUAAGUCCCGCAACGAGCGCAACCCUUGUCAUUAGUUGCUACAUUCAGUUGGGCACUCUAAUGAGACUGCCGGUGACAAACCGGAGGAAGGUGGGGAUGACGUCAAGUCCUCAUGGCCCUUAUAGGUGGGGCUACACACGUCAUACAAUGGAUGGUACAAAGGGUCGCCAACCCGCGAGGGGGAGCCAAUCCCAUAAAGCCAUUCGUAGUCCGGAUCGCAGUCUGCAACUCGACUGCGUGAAGUCGGAAUCGCUAGUAAUCGUGGAUCAGAAUGUCACGGUGAAUACGUUCCCGGGUCUU
rnacentral:rRNA from 1 species